rnacentral:rRNA from 1 species
CGGCGAGCGAAGCGGGAAGAGCUCAAAUUUAUAAUCUGGCGCUUUCAGCGUCCGAGUUGUAAUCUCUAGAAGUGUUUUCCGCGUUGGACCGCACAUAAGUCUGUUGGAAUACAGCGGCACAGUGGUGAGACCCCCGUUCACGGUGCGGAUGCCCAAUGCUUUGUGAUACACUUUCGAAGAGUCGAGUUGUUUGGGAAUGCAGCUCAAAUUGGGUGGUAAAUUCCAUCUAAAGCUAAAUAUUGGCGAGAGACCGAUAGCGAACAAGUACCGUGAGGGAAAGAUGAAAAGCACUUUGGAAAGAGAGUUAACAGUACGUGAAAUUGUUGGAAGGGAAACGCUUGAAGUCAGACUUGCUAUUCGGGGCUUGCUCCGAGUUGCAGGCCAGCAUCAGUUUUUCGGGGCGGAAAAUCACGGAUUGAAGGUAGCAGUUUCGGCUGUGUUAUAGCUUUCCGUUGGAUACGUCCUGGGGGACUGAGGAACGCAGUGUGCUUUUAGCGAGGGCUUCGGCUCUYUCACACUUAGGAUGCUGGUGGAAUGGCUUUAAACGACCCGUCUUGAAACACGG